CAGCCGCCGCGGUAAUACGAAGGGUGCAAGCGUUAAUCGGAAUUACUGGGCGUAAAGCGUGCGUAGGCGGUUUGUUAAGUCUGCUGUGAAAUCCCUGGGCUCAACCUGGGACGUGCAGUGGAAACUGGCAAGCUAGAGUGUGAUAGAGGAUGGUGGAAUUCCCGGUGUAGCGGUGAAAUGCGUAGAGAUCGGGAAGAACAUCAGUGGCGAAGGCGGCCAUCUGGAUCAACACUGACGCUGAGGCACGAAAGCGUGGGGAGCAAACAGGAUUAGAUACCCCAGUAGUCCCUGUCUCUUAUAA
rnacentral:rRNA from 1 species